rnacentral:lncRNA from 1 species
GGGGGUUUUGAAAAGUGUUUUUGUAGUGAAUGCGGAAAAUUUAAAAUUCACGCUAGAACUGGACAGCUCUGACCUUUGCUCAAUGUUUUACCCAUAACUUUUUCUACAGAAUUCUAAAUGAGAUGAGGUUUUUUUUCCUGGAAAGUAGACUCAAUUAUCUUUCAUGUGAUAUAUAAAACNUAGCAUUUGGACCUCUGGU